AAACGGAGCUUUUUACACCGUAUCCUAACAGCACACGAGCGUUAUAUAUCUGGUCACAUCUCUCAAGAUCACAUGCUCCAUCAUUUAAAUAUUUAAAUUCCUGCUCUGUGAAUUUCAGUUUCCCCUUAUUAUAACAUGUGGUGCUUUUAUUUUGAAGGUAGACAAACUGAAGUGUGGUGCUUUUAAUUUGAAGGUGGACAAACUGAAGUGUCAUGCUUUCAUUUUGAAGGUGGACAAACUGAAGUGUGGUGCUUUUAUUUUGAAGGUGGACAUACUGAAGUGUUGUGCUUCAUUCUGAAGGUGGACAAACUGAAGUGUGGUGCUUUUAUUUUGAAGGAGGACAACUGAAGUGUGGUGCUUUGCAUUGAAGAGUUGUUGACUCAAAUCUCAAGACUCGGGCUCGUCUAUAAAUGGCUCGCGGUGAGCUGAAUAAAGUUUUUCUCCGAUUUUGACACAGGUCAGAG